UGAGAGAUUGGGGAGUGCUCGAAAGGGAACCAUUACACAGGUGCUGCAUGGCUGUCGUCAGCUCGNNUNGUGAGAUGUUGGGUUAAGUCCCGCAACGAGCGCAACCCUUGUCAUUAGUUGCUACGAAAGGGCACUCUAAUGAGACUGCCGGUGACAAACCGGAGGAAGGUGGGGAUGACGUCAAGUCCUCAUGGCCCUUAUGGGUAGGGCUUCACACGUCAUACAAUGGUACAUACAGAGGGCCGCCAACCCGCGAGGGGGAGCUAAUCCCAGAAAGUGUAUCGUAGUCCGGAUUGUAGUCUGCAACUCGACUGCAUGAAGUUGGAAUCGCUAGUAAUCGCGGAUCAGCAUGUCGCGGUGAAUACGUUCCCGGGUCUUGUACACACCGCCCGUCACACCAUGGGAGCGGG
rnacentral:rRNA from 1 species